rnacentral:rRNA from 1 species
ACGGGUGAGUAACGCGUGAGGAACCUGCCUUGGAGUGGGGAAUAACACAGAGAAACUUUGUGCUAAAUACCGCAUAAGACCACGAGGUCGCAUGGCCUUGAGGUAAAAGAUUUAUCGGUGUAGGGUGAGCUCGCGUCUGAUUAGCUAGUUGGUGAGGUAACGGCCCACCAAGGCGACGAUCAGUAGCCGACCUGAGAGGGUGAUCGGCCACAUUGGAACUGAGACACGGGUCCAGACUCCUACGGGAGGCAGCAGUGGGGGAAUAUUGGGCAAUGGGCGCAAGCCUGACCCAGCAAACGCCGCGUGAAGGAAGAAGGUUUUCGGAUUGUAAACUUCUGUCCUUGGUGACGAAGAAAGUGACGGUAGCCAAGGAGGAAGCCCCGGCUAACUACGUG